GUCAGGAUGGCCGAGUGGUCUAAGGCGCUGCGCGCUGCGUUAAGGUCGCAGUCUCCUCUGGAGUCGUGGGUUCAAAUCCCACUUCUGACA